AAAUAAAAGACACAAGGGUUAGUCAAUUAAUCAAGAUUAUCAACUACAACCUUGGUCAUUUUAAAAAAAAUAAAAUCAUUAAAAACAUAUCUAUUAAUGAAUAAUGACAAAAUAAUGCAGUAAAUAAUGAAUAAAUAAUCUAAUCAUAAUAAUCAAUAAUGAAUAAAUAUUGAUUAGUGUACUAAUAGGAGUGUUGGACAUAUGUAUAAUAAUGUAGUACACUAAUUAAUAUGCAAUUCAUAGAUAGUUGUGUUUGUAUUGAAAAACCCAAUUCUUUCUAAAUAGACACAUGCACAACAAGUAUCAGCAAUGAAACUUGUAAUUCCACUGUUAAUAAAAAAUAAAAACAAAACUAUUCACUAGAGAUUGGAUGUAGAUUUCUCAUCUUUGAUAAUCUCACAAUAAGUUGCAAUUGCAGAUGGGGGAGAUGCAGAAGUUGGCUCGGAAGGAGAUUCAGUAGUGUUACUAAAGUGUGUUGUUACUUGACUUUGCACUGUCAGGAGUCGGGGAAAAUCGUUGCGAAUGUUUUUAGCUGAUUUAACGUUAAUGUUCUCUCCAUGGAUAAUUGGACGAAGCUGCGUGAUUAUGUGAGGCCUUAGUGCAUCUAUGACACUCUACGCUAUGUGUUUCACAUUUUUGAGGGGCCAUUUCUCUGCGGUUUAUAUCCGAAAAGUGCCAAAGCUUAAUAUUCUCUCGAGUUGGUUAAAGA
rnacentral:lncRNA from 1 species